GGGGGGAGGAGAUCGGUGUGGUCUCCGCCUGGGCUGUCCACUCUGAAAGCCCAAAGGAGCCUCAUCACGGCAGCAAGGCCGAGGCCUCUGGGACCAGGGGCCGGGACGGAGAGCAGGACGGGGGCAGAACACCAGGGCUAACGCUGGAGGAAGUGAGGACAGGGUUCUGAUGAGAGGUUGCUGUCACCAGAGCCGCCCAGCUUGGGCACUAAAUGGAGACCUUCCCGGGACAUGGAGGCCCAGCCCCUUGAAUGACAGGGACCCACCACACCUUAGGAAGCUGGAGGCGCUGUCCAGUCACCUCACUGAACAGAUUCGAUUGGGUGCAUAGUGCCACCUCUGAUUACUUCCUGGGGGAGAUUCGGAGAGCGAGACCACCAAGUUAAGUGUGCUCACCUUGCAGCCCAGGGUCGCCCCGUGUGGGCGAGUGACGCACUGUCUCGCGGGAGGUAUCACUGUCCCUGUGCUUGUCUGGCGCCUGCAUGCCGUGAGCCUCUCCUGGCGCAACCAGGCCCUCCCACCCCCUCUGCCGGCGUCUUACGGCCUUAUUUGCUCAGGGUAUCUUAUUCCGUCUGGGAUUUAUUUGGGGCACGGGGCCAUAGGUCAUCCCCCCCAAUUAGCUGACAACGUCCUCGGGACUAUUAUGGACACUCCCUUCUUUCCCGAGGACGUGCUGCAGCAUGUGUAUCUCAGGGCAGAGCCUUCUGGGGGAGGUGUCUCACCUUCCUCUGGUCUGUGGAUCCGAGGGACUGUUUUCUGGGGUCAGAACCAGCUGGUUGGACGGACGAUUGCUCCAUAAUUACGAUCUCUUCCCAUCUGAAAUUUCCUUGUCGGUUGUAUGUGUUUGUUGCUGUGGCAUAACAAAUGACCCCACAGCCUAGUGUCUUAAAACAACAAACAUUAAUGAUCUCUCACAGUUUGUGGGUGGUUCUCCUUCAGGAUCUCUUUGCUGGCACCAAGCAGGCACCGAAGGCUGGACGGGGCCGGUGGCCUCCGUUCCUCACACACGGGCCUCUGCACAGGGCUGCUCCCAGAACGGCAGAGGUUUCCCCGGAGACGGGAGCAGCGAAGGUGGGAGUCUUGAGACCUACUUGAUAUCAAGACUGGGAAGGUCACUUCUGCCCUGACCAGGAAUCGAACUGCUCAUAAGUCUACGCUCAACUACCAAGCCAGGCUAGCCGGACCCUUGGUUGAUUCUUCUGCGUGCCCUGACCAGGGACCAAAUCUACCACCCUGGUGUAUUAGGAUGACGCUCUAACCACUGCACACCCGGCUAGGGCAGCUGGGGCCUUCUUGGGGAAAGGUGGGCUUGUGUUGAACCCGCGCAUCGGUGCACAGGUGCCGGGUUCAUCCGGCCACGAGGAGGGAUAUUCUCUCACUGCCUCUGGCAGUGGUUUUCUUCUAUGCGCCCUGCACACGCUUACGGCCAGCGAGAGCACAGGGCUCCCUCUCUCCCGUGUGUUUCUAACUCACCGGGAAGCCCUGGGGUUCACCUUGUUCUGGGUCUGGUCACCUCACUGACGUCUGCCGUGUGGGCAGGGGCUCUGAGGUCUGCAGACGGGCCCUAUCGGGCCAGUGUCUGCUGCAGGGGACCCUGCUCCCCACACAAGAGCUGCUAGUGGGCCGGGGCUCAGGCUGCUGAGCAUCAGAGUCACCUGGAACGUUGUGAAAAGCACCAGCUCUCCCAGCACCAGCCGAGGCCGAGGGGCUCAGAACGGGCGGGGCUGCCCCAGAACAACACGUUCAUAUAAACCCCCAGGAAGCAGGGUGUCUACUGAGGCGCUUUCUCCCUCCUUCCAGGCCGCAAACCUGGGUGUGAGCCUCCACUUCACCCCUCUCCUGGCAGCCCACCCCGACCCCAUGUCCUCCCAGAACCCAGGAUGCUGUGAGGCACCCCCUGCUGGCCUUGGUCCAAACCCCUGCUGGGAAACUUCGGUCCAGAGGCGGAGGGACUUGCCCCAGGACACAGCGAGUGGGCAGGGAUGUCCCAGUGAGGUGUCCUGGGCCCUGCCCAGUGCUCUCCUGAGCACCUGAGCCAGAAGACCACCUCUGCGGCCAGGCCUUGUCCACCACCCCCCACAUCCUGGCCCCUCUGUUGCCCGGCCCUUAGAACAACGAGUUCCUGCAGGCAGCACAGGGAUGGAGUCAUCGAAUGCCCACGUUUCCUGGGAUCCCCCCCCCCCCGGGGCUCACGCAGCCCCAGGCAGCUCCCAUCUGGUUCCAUCAGACAUGCUUUGGGGCCAAGAGCUGGGAAGC